UACAGAGGUCUCAAGCGUUGUUCGGAUUCAUUGGGCGUAAAGGGCGCGUAGGCGGCGCGGUAAGUCGGGUGUGAAAUCUCGGAGCUUAACUCCGAAACUGCAUUCGAUACUGCCGUGCUUGAGGACUGGAGAGGAGACUGGAAUUUACGGUGUAGCGGUGAAAUGCGUAGAUAUCGUAAGGAAGACCAGUGGCGAAGGCGGGUCUCUGGACAGUUCCUGACGCUGAGGCACGAAGGUUAGGGGAGCAAACGGG
rnacentral:rRNA from 1 species